rnacentral:rRNA from 1 species
GACGAACGCUGGCGGCGUGCCUAAUACAUGCAAGUCGAGCGAAGUUUUUCUGGUGCUUGCACUAGAAAAACUUAGCGGCGAACGGGCGAGUAACACGUAAAGAACCUGCCUCAUAGACUGGGACAACUAUUGGAAACGAUAGCUAAUACCGGAUAACAGUAUUUCUCGCAUGAGAGACAUUUAAAAGUUGGUUAUGCUAACACUAUGAGAUGGCUUUGCGGUGCAUUAGCUAGUUGGUGGGGUAAAGGCCCACCAAGGCGACGAUGCAUAGCCGACCUGAGAGGGUGAUCGGCCACACUGGGACUGAGACACGGCCCAGACUCCUACGGGAGGCAGCAGUAGGGAAUCUUCCGCAAUGGGCGAAAGCCUGACGGAGCAACGCCGCGUGAGUGAAGAAGGAUUUCGGUUCGUAAAGCUCUGUUGUUAGGGAAGAAUGGAUAUGUAGUAACUAUACAUGUAAGAGACGGUACCUAACCAGAAAGCCACGGCUAACUACGUG